CUACCCUUGCUGGUUAUGAGCAGCACGAUGCCCAUGAGUUCUUCAUCUCAAUGCUUGACAGGAUUCAUGAGAAAGAGCAACCUAACCAUUCAAAUAAAGCAGUACAAGUACUCAAUUGCUGAAGAUGAUGAGUCUCCCAAGUCAUAUGUAAUGCAACAAAUUUAGUUUCUGUUGUUCUGUGUACUAUGGUUAAUUUCUUGUACUCCAUGUUGGACUAUCCAAAGGCUAGUAUUUGUUUUUUGGCACAUUUGUGUUGACUCUUCUUGUAUGCUACAACUUGGUUAUGUAUCAGUUUGAACAUUUAAAUGAAAUAUUUUCUUUUAUGGUUGUCACAA